CUUUCGGCGUGCCUAAUACAUGCAAGUCGAACGAGUUCUGAUUAUUGAAAGGUGUUUGCAUCUUGAUUUAAUUUUGAACGAGUGGCGGACGGGUGAGUAACACGUGGGUAACCUGCCCUUAAGUGGGGGAUAACAUUUGGAAACAGAUGCUAAUACCGCAUAAAUCCAAGAACCGCAUGGUUCUUGGCUGAAAGAUGGCGUAAGCUAUCGCUUUUGGAUGGACCCGCGGCGUAUUAGCUAGUUGGUGAGGUAACGGCUCACCAAGGCAAUGAUACGUAGCCGAACUGAGAGGUUGAUCGGCCACAUUGGGACUGAGACACGGCCCAAACUCCUACGGGAGGCAGCAGUAGGGAAUCUUCCACAAUGGACGCAAGUCUGAUGGAGCAACGCCGCGUGAGUGAAGAAGGCUUUCGGGUCGUAAAACUCUGUUGUUGGAGAAGAAUGGUCGGCAGAGUAACUGUUGUCGGCGUGACGGUAUCCAACCAGAAAGCCACGGCUAACUACGUGCCAGCAGCCGCGGUAAUACGUAGGUGGCAAGCGUUAUCCGGAUUUAUUGGGCGUAAAGCGAGCGCAGGCGGUUUUUUAAGUCUGAUGUGAAAGCCCUCGGCUUAACCGAGGAAGUGCAUCGGAAACUGGGAAACUUGAGUGCAGAAGAGGACAGUGGAACUCCAUGUGUAGCGGUGAAAUGCGUAGAUAUAUGGAAGAACACCAGUGGCGAAGGCGGCUGUCUGGUCUGUAACUGACGCUGAGGCUCGAAAGCAUGGGUAGCGAACAGGAUUAGAUACCCUGGUAGUCCAUGCCGUAAACGAUGAAUGCUAGGUGUUGGAGGGUUUCCGCCCUUCAGUGCCGCAGCUAACGCAUUAAGCAUUCCGCCUGGGGAGUACGACCGCAAGGUUGAAACUCAAAGGAAUUGACGGGGGCCCGCACAAGCGGUGGAGCAUGUGGUUUAAUUCGAAGCAACGCGAAGAACCUUACCAGGUCUUGACAUCUUUUGAUCACCUGAGAGAUCAGGUUUCCCCUUCGGGGGCAAAAUGACAGGUGGUGCAUGGUUGUCGUCAGCUCGUGUCGUGAGAUGUUGGGUUAAGUCCCGCAACGAGCGCAACCCUUAUGACUAGUUGCCAGCAUUUAGUUGGGCACUCUAGUAAGACUGCCGGUGACAAACCGGAGGAAGGUGGGGAUGACGCCAAAUCAUCAUGCCCCUUAUGACCUGGGCUACACACGUGCUACAAUGGAUGGUACAACGAGUUGCGAGACCGCGAGGUCAAGCUAAUCUCUUAAAGCCAUUCUCAGUUCGGACUGUAGGCUGCAACUCGCCUACACGAAGUCGGAAUCGCUAGUAAUCGCGGAUCAGCACGCCGCGGUGAAUACGUUCCCGGGCCUUGUACACACCGCCCGUCACACCAUGAGAGUUUGUAACACCCGAAGCCGGUGGCGUAACCCUUUUAGGGAGCGAGCCGUCUAAGGUGGGACAAAUGAUUAGGGU
rnacentral:rRNA from 1 species